GAAAAUUAUUCAGUAUUCUGUUAUUUGCGUUGCAUGUAUUAUGUAGUUUAGGAACAAUUAUUACUAGUGAAAGCCCAUUUGAUCUUAUUGUUUUUUACAAUUAUACAUUUUAAUGAUUUGUAUGUAUAGAAAAUGUUCCAAUGCAUUUUGUGGUGACAUUUAAUAACAUUUAUCCUGAUAUUGUAUAAAAGUGAAAGAUUUGAGUAUAUGACCGAAAUUGUUCACCUUGAUUGGGAUAACUCCUCUUUCUUCACAACAAUAUCCUCCUAAGCGUUGUAGUAACAUAAAAGUAGCAUCUGAUAUGUGUAUUUUGAAAGCUUCACCAGAACUUUCCAUUCUUGAAGCAGUAUUGACCGUGUCACCAAAAAGACAAUAUCUAGGCAUUUUUAGACCCACGACACCGGCUACAACGUGACCUGUAGGAUUUAAAAAUGAAAUGUGGAUUAUACAGGACAAAUAUCGUGAUGAGAAUUGUCAUCAAAUGCAAGAUUUCUAAUAAAAUCAUCAGGGAAUUAAUGAGGGGAAGUACUUUGUGAACGCGCCUUAAAUGUCUACAAGCUGGAGUCUCUUGGAUGGCGCCAAAAGUAACUUUGACGUUUAAAGUCUAUAUACGAGGACAA